rnacentral:rRNA from 1 species
GAUGAACGCUGGCGGCGUGCCUAAUACAUGCAAGUCGAGCGAACAGACGAGGAGCUUGCUCCUCUGACGUUAGCGGCGGACGGGUGAGUAACACGUGGAUAACCUACCUAUAAGACUGGGAUAACUUCGGGAAACCGGAGCUAAUACCGGAUAAUAUAUUGAACCGCAUGGUUCAAUAGUGAAAGACGGUUUUGCUGUCACUUAUAGAUGGAUCCGCGCCGCAUUAGCUAGUUGGUAAGGUAACGGCCUACCAAGGCAACGAUGCGUAGCCGACCUGAGAGGGUGAUCGGCCACACUGGAGCUGAGACGCGGUCCAGACUACUACGGGAGGCAGCAGUAGGGAAUCUUCCGCAAUGGGCGAAAGCCUGACGGAGCAACGCCGCGUGAGUGAUGAAGGUCUUCGGAUCGUAAAACUCUGUUAUUAGGGAAGAACAAAUGUAUAAGUAACUAUGCACGUCUUGACGGUACCUAAUCAGAAAGCCACGGCUAACUACGUG